rnacentral:lncRNA from 1 species
UUAAAUCAAGCAUAUUCCUCAGUAUCAUGGAGAGACUGGAGGUUAGAGACACCAAAACCAUCCCUGGCUUAAUGACUUUGGGAUCCCUGGGCCCCUCCAUGCAGCAGAACGGCAAUUAACCAAGGACCCUGAUGGAUACAGAUGGCAAUAGAAAGCCUCUCUGAGGAAGUGACAUUUAAGCUAGACUUUCGGGAUGAGCGGGAGCCAGCCAUGUGAAGAACGGGGGAGGAGAGACACUCCAGGCAGGAGGAAGUCGCGUGUGAAAACUCCAAGGUGGAAAGAGCUCACUGUUGUGUUCAAGGAACAGAGAGAAGGGCAGUGUGUCUAGAGUGCAGCACUCAGGAGAGACAGCACGAGAUGAGAUUUUCUGAAUUUCAUCCCGAUCACACAGCACACAGCAGAGGAAGUGGUUGGCCUGCCCUCCGGGUCACCUCUCUCCUCAUGCUGGCCCUUACGAAAGAUAAAAAUACUGAUAACUAAUGCUUAUUGAACACUUACUAUGUUUCAGGCAUUGUUUUAAAUAAAUUUAUAUUAAAUAAAUAGUAAUUGUUCUAACUGCAAUUAAAGAAAAGAAUAAG